AGAGAUCAUGGCGCAGAAUCAACGCUGGCGGCGUGCCUCAGACAUGCAAGUCGAACGCGAAAGCUCCCUUCGGGGAGCAAGUAGAGUGGCGCACGGGUGAGUAACACGUAGGUAAUCUACCUUUGGAUUGGGAAUAACAACCGGAAACGGUUGCUAAUACCGAAUAAUGCAGCGGCACCUAAUGGUGACAGUUGUUAAAGCGGGGGAUCGCAAGACCUCGCGUCUGAAGAGGAGCCUGCGGCGGAUUAGCUAGUUGGUAAGGUAACGGCUUACCAAGGCGAUGAUCCGUAGCCGGCCUGAGAGAGCGGUCGGCCACACUGACACUGACAUACGGGUCAGACUCCUACGGGAGGCAGCAGUCGGGAAUUUUGGGCAAUGGGCGAAAGCCUGACCCAGCAACGCCGCGUGAAGGAUGAAAUCCUUCGGGAUGUAAACUUCGCAAGAACGGGAAGAAUAAGUAAGAGUUAAUAUCUCUUAUGAUGACGGUACUGUUUGUAAGCUCCGGCUAACUCCGUGCCAGCAGCCGCGGUAAUACGGGGGGAGCAAGCGUUGUUCGGAUUUACUGGGCGUAAAGGGCGCGUAGGCGGCCACCGCAAGUCGACUGUGAAAUCUCCGGGCUUAACCCGGAAAGGUCAGCCGAUACUGCGGGGCUAGAGUGCAGAAGGGGCAACUGGAAUUCUCGGUGUAGCGGUGAAAUGCGUAGAUAUCGAGAGGAACACCUGCGGCGAAGCGGGUUGCUGGGCUGACACUGACGCUGAGCGCGAAAGCUAGGGGAGCGAACGGGAUUAGAUACCCCGGUAGUCCUAGCCUUAAACGAUGAAUGCUUGGUGUCUGGGGUUUUAUAGUCCCCGGGUGCCGUCGCUAACGCUUUAAGCAUUCCGCCUGGGGAGUA
rnacentral:rRNA from 1 species